UACGUAGGGUGCAAGCGUUGUCCGGAAUUAUUGGGCGUAAAGAGCUCGUAGGCGGUUUGUUGCGUCGGCUGUGAAAUCCCGAGGCUCAACCUCGGGUCUGCAGUCGAUACGAGCAAACUAGAGUGUUGCAGGGGAGACUGGAAUUCCUGGUGUAGCGGUGAAAUGCGCAGAUAUCAGGAGGAACACCGGUGGCGAAGGCGGUUCUCUGGGCAUUACCUGACGCUGCGGAGCGAAAGUGUGGGGAGCGAACAGG
rnacentral:rRNA from 1 species